UACGUAGGGACCAAGCGUUGUUCGGAUUUACUGGGCGUAAAGGGCGCGUAGGCGGCAAUUCAAGUCAUCUGUGAAAUCUCCGGGCUUAACUCGGAACGGUCAGAUGAUACUGCUUUGCUAGAGUGCGGAAGGGGCAAUCGGAAUUCUCGGUGUAGCGGUGAAAUGCGUAGAUAUCGAGAGGAACACUUGCGGCGAAGGCGGGUAGCUGGGCCGACACUGACGCUGAUGCGCGAAAGCCAGGGGAGCGAACGGG
rnacentral:rRNA from 1 species